rnacentral:rRNA from 1 species
GACGAACGCUGGCGGCGCGCUUAAUACAUGCAAGUCGAACGAGAAGCCAGAGCUUGCUCUGGUGGAAAGUGGCGAACGGGUGAGUAGCACGUGAGAAACCUGCCCAAAGAUUGGGAUAAGCCUUGGAAACGAGGUCUAAUACCAAAUACCUUCCUUUUAACACAUGUUAAAAAGAAGAAAUGCUCCGGCGCUUUGGGAUGGUCUCGCGAUCUAUCAGCUUGUUGGUGAGGUAACGGCUCACCAAGGCAUCGACGGAUAGCUGGUCUGAGAGGAUGUCCAGCCACAUUGGAACUGAGACACGGUCCAAACUCCUACGGGAGGCAGCAGUAGGGAAUCUUGCACAAUGAGGGAAACCUUGAUGCAGCGACGCCGCGUGCGGGACGAAGGCCCUAGGGUUGUAAACCGCUUUCAGUAGGGACGAAAGUGACGGUACCUACAGAAGAAGCCCCGGCCAACUAAUGUGCCAGCAGCCGCGGU